GGUUUUAAUUUUCAGAAGAACUAGUUCAAAACAAAAGGGUGGACUUACAUCUACAUAAAAGUUGUGUUUUAUUAGGGUGGACCUAAGAACACAAAUUAAGUGAACAAAAAUUUAAGAAAAAUAAACAUAAAUUUAAAUAAAUAAACAUUACAUAAAUAAAAAAAUUUAAUAACUUAAUUGAAAAAAAUAUUAUACAAAACAAACAUAACUAAUAUAAUUUAAAAUGAGGGGAAUGUCGCGGUCAAAUAUUCAUCGCUUAACGAAAAAACAAAAGGAAGAGCUUCAGCAAUCGGCUGCUAGAGCUCUUACUUUUGAUACAGAAAAUAAUUCUGGAAAUGAAUGCCUAUGUGAACCCGAAUCGGAUAAAAGUGCAUCAAACUAUUCUUAUGAGUAUGAUACCUAUGAAUCUCCGUGAAAAAUUAUUAGAAUGGUACCAUAAUAAUAACGUUACUAGAGUUCAUAUUGAUGCACUUUUAAAAACUUUUGAAUUCGGAAAAUCUAGAUCUUCAAUAGGAUAUUAAGUCCAAGUUUGAUAAUGGAGCUUAAUUAUGGCGGUAC